rnacentral:rRNA from 1 species
AAUCAACGCUGGCGGCGUGCUUAACACAUGCAAGUCGAGCGAUGAAGUUCCUUCGGGAAUGGAUUAGCGGCGGACGGGUGAGUAACACGUGGGUAACCUGCCUCAUAGAGGGGAAUAGCCUUUCGAAAGGAAGAUUAAUACCGCAUAAGAUUGUAGUAUCGCAUGAUACAGCAAUUAAAGGAGUAAUCCGCUAUGAGAUGGACCCGCGUCGCAUUAGCUAGUUGGUGAGGUAACGGCUCACCAAGGCGACGAUGCGUAGCCGACCUGAGAGGGUGAUCGGCCACAUUGGGACUGAGACACGGCCCAGACUCCUACGGGAGGCAGCAGUGGGGAAUAUUGCACAAUGGGGGAAACCCUGAUGCAGCAACGCCGCGUGAGUGAUGACGGUCUUCGGAUUGUAAAACUCUGUCUUCAGGGACGAUAAUGACGGUACCUGAGGAGGAAGCCACGGCUAACUACGUGCCAGCCGCCGCCGUAAGAC